AGAAAUGAGAAUGACAAGAAGGAAAGGGAGAGCACGCAUGAACAUAUAUUUACAGGGUUAAGUUUCUUUCUUUCUGGAGUUCAGACCUUACCAAAAAUAUACAGUGUAGUAUUUCAGAUUGGGUCCUGUUCAGAGCCUAGAAUUAGUUGUCCUUAAAAGUGAUACUGAGGUGGAUUUUAGUUGACUCACUAAACAUUUAGGUCUAAAAUGCAUCAAAUGCCACACUAAGGGACAGAGAUAUGGAUGGAUUGUCUAAGUUCCUGCCCUCCAGAAGCUCAUGAUUACAGGCACGGAGAGAACAGCCUACAACUCUUUUAACCACUAUCAAACAACGAAAACUAGUGCAUAAAGAAAGUUCUGGAAGGAAACACACUGCUGCAGUGAUUACCUCUGGGCAGAAAGCAGGCUUGAGAAAAGGUAAAAGAAAUCUGGGGAGAGAAUACAAGAUGGCGGCAUAGAGAGGAGUG